rnacentral:rRNA from 1 species
CCGACAAGUUGAACGCAUAUUGCACAUCGCACAACAGUACGAUGUACACAUUUUUGAGUGCCUAUCUUUA